rnacentral:misc_RNA from 1 species
AAGACUAUAGACCUGCGGAGUACCUGCGGAGGGAUCAUUAUCGUAUUUUGAAAGAGAGGGUGGAUUAGAGGUGGGAGGUGGGGGGAAGUGGAGUGAAAAAUGAAAAUGGGAAAAAAAGAAAGACAAGAGCUUUAUUGUCAUUCAAUUGAACCAUUGAAAAAUUUUAAACUCUUCCAUCCUGCUUUUCUCAUCUCUAAACACACUUUUCUUUAUCAACCCCUUCAUGUGAACAAAUUGAAU